UCAACUAGAUACAAAGACAGAGGCGGGUAAUUUGAAUCGUAUAUUUUGCUAGUCUAGCAUGAAUUAUAAGAUUUCAUUAAUGUAAAUCUAAUUCUAUGCUUCUACUGUUUGAAUCUCCGUGACAUGAGCUAUCUCUAGUUGUGUGAUUCUUCUUCCUUCAAAACAAUGCCCAAUUUACAAGAAAAUAGCCACUGGGCUAUCCUUAUAAUUCAAUUUGGCUAUAUCAUCAAUCAAACAGUUAACAACAUAUUAAGGACAACUAAUUAUUGUUGUUUAAACAUGAAUUAUCAUUUUAGAAGGUAAAUCGUUGUCAACAAUAAGCAAAUUUAAUCAGCAUGCAGGUUAAUGGCAUCAGAAGUUAAUUCGGGAAAGAAAUUUAGGUAGAUUCAAUGACUAACACGCUGGAUCUAUGAAAUCAAACACAAAGGGAACAUAAGCAAACUCAAAUUUCAUUCUUCAACUCAAAAUAAAACGGAGCAGAUGUAAAUCUACAUACCUAACAGUAGAAACAACCGAACGCGACCAAAUAAAGGUCUGAAAAAUGCAGAAAUAGAGUCCAGUAACUUUGAAACAACAAACUUCAACAACAAGCAACAACUCUAUAGCUCCAAAUAGCUUUCACAAUCCCAGAAAAUGUAAAGCAACAAGUAGAAACUUGAAAUAGCUUUUAAUUCUUCUUCUCUUUUGGUUUUUUAUUUUUUUGUUUUUGUAUUUCAGCUUUUGAAUUCCCAGAUCUGGGCUUUUUGAAUUUCAAAAUUCAGGGUGCUUCUGUUAUCUCCUGUUUGAGUGAGGAAGAGAAUGAAUAUAAGAGUGAGUGAAUGUGUAGGGGAGUGAAUGUCUAUGAAUGAAUUGCGUGUGAGUGAAGGCAUGUUUUUAUAGGAAGAUUCUCUUCCAGAUUUCAAUUUUCCCUUCUCUUUUAACUCCUUUCUUUUUUUGUUUUUACCACUCAGCCCCCAAAUAAAUGACCUACUCUACUAUUUUAUUUGCUACCCAGUCCUUUCAGCUCUUUCACAAAAAUUUUAUGACAAAUAACUGCUAGAUUUCUUAAGGUUAAAUCCCUGAUAUGCUCCUCUAAUACACAUGUUAUUCACCUCUGACCCACAGGCUCAUACGCAAAUCCACACUUAACGAUCCGGCCUGUUAAACAAUGGCAGGCCCAAUUCUUAUGCCCAAAUGAACCAUAACAAUCAAAUGCAAACAACCAAUAUAGGAUGCAAUCGAAACCUAAUUAAACAUAAAGCAAUUAACCAAAUAUACAACUAAACUAAAAUCAAACAAUUAAUUACUAAUUAAUCCAAAUAAUUAACUAAACCUAACUAAAACAGAAACAGUAAUGCGUGGCAGUUCAGGGAGAAAUUACAGAAAAGGGAAUGAGAAAUAUACCAAUUCACGUGAAAAUCCGGUAAGUGAAAUGAAGUACAAUAGUGAACAGAAACUGACGAGCAACAAGAAUUAUCACAUGAGCACUGGCCGGCAAAUUUUCAUGCGAGCCAGUGCUACAUGUAGCAAUACUCAUUACAGGCCGAACUGGAGAAAGAUAGAUGGAUUUGGGAAAAAUCUCGCAUGUCAACGAAGUUUCGACGAUCGGAGAAUGGUAAACAAAUUACCCCAAUCGAUAGGUCUUCAGUAGACAUGUUGUUUGGUGUAAGAUUUGAGAACAGAGGAGGUCAAAUCGUGGUUGAUUUUUUAAAAGGGGCGAAAAGCUUGAAUCUUGAUUUUAAGAUCUUCUAAUCGAGGCAAUCAGGUAGGAUUUUGGGAAAAUAAAGGGUGGAUCAAGAACGAGGGUGAGAUGGGGACUGUGGGGUGACAUAUUGAAGCUGUUUGGUGGUGGUGCGCUGCCGGAUAGUGAUUUCUAGUCGGCGACGAGUGGUGGCAGACAGCGGACAGAAUGGAGAGGAUUUGGGAACUAAAGGAGGCUAGGU
rnacentral:lncRNA from 1 species